CUAAGAUAGUUUAAUUAAAAUAUUGAUUUGUGGAUUCAAAGAUUCUAAGUUG
rnacentral:tRNA from 1 species